UACGUAGGGGGCAAGGCGUUGUCCGGAAUCAUUGGGCGUAAAGCGCGUGUAGGCGGCUGAGUAAGUCUGCUCUGAAAGCCCGGGGCUCAACCCCGGGAGGCGGGUGGAUACUGCUCAGCUCGAGUCCGGAAGAGGAGUGUGGAAUUCCUGGUGUAGCGGUGAAAUGCGCAGAUAUCAGGAGGAACACCGGUGGCGAAGGCGGGUCUCUGG
rnacentral:rRNA from 1 species